rnacentral:rRNA from 1 species
ACUCACGUUGGAACGACCGAGUGCACCAAACGCUCCGGCGCUGCAGGAUGUGGCUGCGGCCGAUUAGGUAGACGGUGGGGUAACGGCCCACCGUGCCGAUAAUCGGUACGGGUUGUGAGAGCAAGAGCCCGGAGACGGAAUCUGAGACAAGAUUCCGGGCCCUACGGGGCGCAGCAGGCGCGAAACCUUUACACUGCACGACAGUGCGAUAAGGGGACCCCAAGUGCGAGGGCAUACAGUCCUCGCUUUUGUGUACCGUAAGGUGGUACACGAAUAAGAGCUGGGCAAGACCGGUGCCAGCCGCCUUUUGUAAUACCGGCAGCUCGAGUGAUGACCGAUUUUAUUGGGCCUAAAGCGUCCGUAGCUGGCCGCGUAGGUUCGUCGGGAAAUCCAUCCGCUCAACGGAUGGGCGUCCGGCGAAAACCACGUGGCUUGGGACCGGAAGGCUCGAGGGGUACGUCCGGGGUAGGAGUGAAAUCCCGUAAUCCUGGACGGACCGCCGAUGGCGAAAGCACCUCGAGAAGACGGAUCCGACAGUGAGGGACGAAAGCUGGGGUCUCGAACCGGAUUAGAUACCCGGGUAGUCCCAGCCGUAAACAAUGCCAAUUAGGUGUGGCACCGACUACGAGUCGGUGCUGUGCCGUAGGGAAGCCGAUAAAUUGGCCGCCUGGGAAGUACGUCCGCAAGGAUGAAACUUAAAGGAAUUGGCGGGGGAGCACUACAACCGGAGGAGCCUGCGGUUUAAUUGGACUCAACGCCGGACAUCUCACCAGCAUCGACUGUAGCAAUGAUCAUCAGGUUGAUGACCUCUAUGUUGAGCUACAGAGAGGAGGUGCAUGGCCGCCGUCAGCUCGUACCGUGAGGCGUCCUGUUAAGUCAGGCAACGAGCGAGACCCGCACUCUUAAUUGCCAGCAUCGCGUUCGCGCGGAUGGGUACAUUAGGAGGACUGCCGCUGCUAAAGCGGAGGAAGGAACGGGCAACGGUAGGUCAGUAUGCCCCGAAUGUGCUGGGCUACACGCGGGCUACAAUGGCCGAGACAAUGGGUUCCUACCUCGAAAGAGGAUGGUAAUCUCAGAAACUCGGUCGUAGUUCGGAUUGAGGGUUGAAACUCACCCUCAUGAAGCUGGAUUCGGUAGU